rnacentral:rRNA from 1 species
GAUGAACGCUGGCGGCGUGCCUAAUACAUGCAAGUCGAACGCAUUGUGGUUGAAAUGAUAUGAAGAACUUGUUCAGAUUUGAUUUUAAACAUUGCAAUGAGUGGCGAACGGGUGAGUAACACGUGGGAAACCUACCUCUUAGCAGGGGAUAACAUUUGGAAACAAAUGCUAAUACCGUAUAAUAAUUAAAACCGCAUGGUUUUAGUUUAAAAGAUGGUCUUGCUAUCACUAAGAGAUGGUCCCGCGGUGUAUUAGUUAGUUGGUGAGGUAAUGGCUCACCAAGACAAUGAUACAUAGCCGAGUUGAGAGACUGACCGGCCACAAUGGGACUGAGACACGGCCCAUACUCCUACGGGAGGCAGCAGUAGGGAAUCUUCCACAAUGGACGAAAGUCUGAUGGAGCAACGCCGCGUGUGUGAUGAAGGGUUUCGGCUCGUAAAACACUGUUGUAAGAGAAGAAUGACAUUGAGAGUAACUGUUCAAUGUGUGACGGUAUCUUA